CCCCAUUCCUUUGGAGUUGGUGUUUCUAGGUGGUCCAUCCUCACACUUUGCACUUGAAUAAACUCUUUAAAUUAGAUUUUGACCCUUUCAAUUAUUUUAGGUUGACACAUGUCUGGGCAACAUUUGUCCAAAAGAUUCAAACACUUAAAAAAAAAGUUUAGCUUUUCCCCAACUUUCAUCCAUUUUCAUUGGUCUUGGCCUGUUACACUGCAAGUGGUGGGUCAUAUGUUAAUUUCUGGCCCAUUAAGGAGUAAAAAAUGUUGAGAACAUUGUCCUUAUUCAUUUAACUUGUUUUUAAUACCAUGGAGUUUAGUUCACGGUACUCUGGGAGUUUUCAAACAUUUUUCACAAUAUAGUCAUUGCAAUAUAUUCACAAUAUAAAUAAAUUUUUUCAGUACAUAUUCACAACACAUUCUUCACAAUAAACACUUAUUUGAUGCCUAAAUUCAAGAAAUAGUUGUGGGAGAAUCUACUAUGUGCUGGGCACUAUUCUGGGUGCUGAAAUUCAGCAAUGAACAAAACAAAGUUUCUAUUUUACAUGUCUCAUAAUGAAUUAUUCUGUCAAUUUGUAAUGUUGUAUUUAUUUUUUAUUAAAAUUUGUGCACAUUUAAGGAGUACGAGUGCAGUUUUGUUAUAUGGAUAGAUUGCAUCGUGGUUAUGUCUGGGCUUUUAGUGUAACCAUUGCCUGAAAUUUGCAGUUUUAUAGCUGUAAGGUGAUGAAGAAAUGGUCUAAUCCACUAAUUUUGCAACAAAAUAGAUAGGCUGGAGUCUUAAGCUUAAGUAACUUCCCACAAGGUCACCCAAUUAAUGUCAGAAUAUGAACUAGAGGUUGUUUGAUGAUUUCUACUAUAGGAGGAGAAUAUUAAACAUCUUUGUUAUGCAUAUCCUGGGAUCUUCUACCUUCCCUAGGGCAUAACAAAAGGGCUGAAUUCCAGAUGUUUAUGUUUAGGGCAGCUUUGUAAUUCAUUUUUGCUUUUAUUAUGGUUUUUAUCCAUCUGUUUUUAAAUCUCUUUACUCAGCCCAGGCCAAUUACCAUGAUGAAAUUACCUUUGGUGAAGAUACAGUAUAUGUGAUGCAGAGACUGAAUGCUUAGUCCUUGGUUGUCGGCUAUCACGUGUCUUUAACAUUGAGUCUAAUUUAUUCCAAGAUUCAGUCAGCUGCUCCUUGUAAAACUGGUUCUUUGUUUACAGUCAGUAAUUUAUAUCAUUGUUAAAACUCCUAGACUGUGCAAUAAAACUUUAGAAUGAGGCAAUUCAAGGAUAAGAUGGUCAGAAAGUAAAUCAGGUGCCUUGGACUAUCCUCCUAGAAAAUGAAUGUAAAAGAGACUCUGCGGGACUUAAUUUUUAAUAAUCUAACACAUUAGUAAUUGUCAGGCCUCUGAGCCCAAGCUAAGCCAUCAUACACCUGUGACCUUCAUAUACACAUCCAGAUGGCCGAUUCCUGCCUUAACUGAUGACAUUCCACCACAAAAGAAGUGAAAAUGGCCUGUUCCUGCCUUAACUGAUGACAUUGUCUUGUGAAAUUCCUUCUCCUGGCUCAUCCUGGCUCAAAAGCUCCCCUACUGAGCACCUUGUGACCCCCACUCUGCCCUCCAGAGAACAACCCCCCUUUGACUGUAAUUUUCCUUUAUCUACCCAAAUCCUAUAAAACGGCCCCACCCUUAUCUCCCUUUGCUGACUCUCUUUUCGGACUCAGCCCACCUGCACCCAGAUGAUUAAAAGCUUUAUUGCUCAAACAAAGCCUGUUUGGUGGUCUCUUAACAUGGCCGCGCAUGAAAUUUGGUGCCGUGACUCGGAUCAGGGGACCUCCCUUGGGAGAUCAAUCCCCUGUCCUCCUGCUCUUUGUUCCAUGAAAAAGAUCCACCUACGACCUGGGGUCCUCAGACCCACCAGCCCAAGGAACAUCUCACUAAUUUUAAAUCAGGAAUAUUCCAGCUGGGCUUCAUGGAGAGAACACAUGUAAGUGCUACAGCUGAGCUGCAUCUACAAGUCAUCCCAGUUCUGGUGGCAGACCCGUGAGUGAAGCCUCUGAUUCUGGCCCCCACCCACAGAGGCAACCCCAACUGAGGCUUCACAGAAACCCUCCACCAUCCCUGUGCCCUGACUGAAUUCCUGACCCACAGAUUUCAUGGACGUAACAAAAUGGGUAUUUUAUACCAUUAGAACUGGAGUGGUUUGUUAUGCUGCAGUAGUAAUUGGAUAAGUUGGUUGUCUUAUGUGUCUAGCCUUACGGAUAUUUGGUUACAAGGAAUGGGAAACAACUCAAGUCAAAUUAAACAAAAAUAGAAGGCAUCAAAUGCAAAGCAUAGGUGAUAUUGCCAAACAUGAAGAAGAUGCUUCAAUUUUCAGGAAUUUAAUCAAAGGUGAAACCGUUAUUCCACUGAUAAUCAGUCAAAGGAAGAAAGCUACAAAACCAGUUCAAUAACAUCUGAAGCCUGAGAGGAAAAUGAAAGACAAGAGGCUGUGGCUGUAGCUGUGUCUGCUGACAACAGGAUAAAAAUGGUUGCAUUGAGAGUGAGCUGCAUUUUCACCAGGCAGAGCAAACUGAGAGCAAAGCUGUGUGUUUCUUGGAAAUCAAAAGAGGACUCCAAGAAAAGAAGCUUUUAAGAGGACUGGCUGGAGAGUCAAAGAAGAUCCAUUAGCUUCUGGACCACUGAAAACCUAAGGGCUGAUGGUGGGGCGGGGUAAGUGGCCGGCAGCAGGGAGACAUUUUCUGUAUCUAGGAUGGUAUAGAAAAGACCCCCACUGGACAGAUCUACAAAGAACAACGAAAGAGUCUCAUGGUAGAACAGGUCAGCUCUGGACAUCAUUCAAAUCCAGGGGAGCCUCUUAUACUGGAUUGCAAUUGUGUUGGGCAUGUACAAUGGUGUUCUUUUUCUCUAAUGGCUUCUUUCUUCUGGUCAGUCUCUGGAAGGGGUGAAAGAGUGAGAAAUAGUAGCCAGCAAGUGUAGAAAGAGAUGUGGAAGAGAGAACGGGGAAACAGAAAUUGCAUUUCCCCCACGUUCCAAAUGUAGGUUAUCCGGGUUAAAUGUAGGCCCCACCUGACUAGGCAAAGAUUUUUUCCUUUGUUGUGAGUUUGAAAAGAACUAAACAUCAUACUGAAGUGGAAUUAUUGAAAUUGGAUAGACCCAGGUUCAAAUGUUGACUCAGUUAUGUAACAUCUUGUGAAUUUUGACAAGUUCCUUAACUCCACUGAGUCUGUUUUUAUACCCAUGAAAUGGAUGUAGGAUUGUUAUGAACAUUAAUUGAAAAAUUAUAUAUAAAAUAAGUGUCCAGCAUAGUUCCUGGCACAUACUAGUGCUUGAAAACUACCAAUCAACUUCAUCAAUUUGUGUUAUGCCCUGCAUGGGCACAUAUUUGUCCUGAUACUCUUCAAAAUGUAGAAGUACCCACAGAAAAAUUGUCUCAGUUCAAGCACAGUAUUAUUAAUAUUCUACUGAGUACUAAGUAUGGUCGUUAAUAGUCUAAUAUGAGGAAGUCAAAACAGUCUCUGGAAAAAGUCUUUCUGCAAGCUUUUUGAAGCUUCAGGGAUUGCUACAAAGACUGGAAAAUCGAUCUUGAACUCAGCCUUUUAAUUUCUUUUCAUGAUUACUGUUCUCAAAUGGAGAAUGCAAUUAAAAUUAAUGCUGUCUUAGUUCACUUGCCUCAAAAUAAACAUUGAUCAAAUUCUA